GAUGAACGCUGGCGGCGUGCCUAAUACAUGCAAGUCGAGCGAACGGACGAGAAGCUUGCUUCUCUGAUGUUAGCGGCGGACGGGUGAGUAACACGUGGAUAACCUACCUAUAAGACUGGGAUAACUUCGGGAAACCGGAGCUAAUACCGGAUGAUAUUUUGAACCGCAUGGUUCAAAAGUGAAAGACGGUCUUGCUGUCACUUAUAGAUGGAUCCGCGCUGCAUUAGCUAGUUGGUAAGGUAACGGCUUACCAAGGCAACGAUGCAUAGCCGACCUGAGAGGGUGAUCGGCCACACUGGAACUGGGACACGGUCCAGGCUCCUACGGGAGGCAGCAGUAGGGAAUCUUCCGCAAUGGGCGAAAGCCUGACGGAGCAACGCCGCGUGAGUGAUGAAGGUCUUCGGAUCGUAAAACUCUGUUAUUAGGGAAGAACAUAUGUGUAAGUAACUGUGCACAUCUUGACGGUACCUAAUCAGAAAGCCACGGCUAACUACGUG
rnacentral:rRNA from 1 species